rnacentral:lncRNA from 1 species
CAUGGAUACUAGUAAGCUGAUGAAAAAGGAGGCAACUAUUGUUUGAUGAUUGAAAUAUAAAAGUAUGACAUGUACUAUGUUACAGAUUAUGUAUGAACUUAUGAUAUAUAUGAUGUUAUUGUUUCCAUAGGUCGUUUUUAUAAAUCCCACUGAGGUAAGUGGACGGUAAAUGAUUUGAUUAUUGAUAAAUAAAUUUACUUGAAACUUGUGCUCCAUUGGUUGUUUUUAGUUUUCUACCAACCUU